CCUGUAACUUGCGGCUAAUACCUCGCUGUACCACACGAUUCCCACACUGUUUAUUACAGCCACAUUUCCACCAACACUCUUUGAUGAAGUUCCUCACUAGAUGACCUUUACAAGGUUCUAUAAUAUCCUCGUUUUUCGAUCUUUCCAAUGGGCAUUCUUUGCAAAAGAAUUGGCAGUGUUUCUUGGGGUCACGAUUCAUAGAAAUACUCUCUUUAAGAAGUUCCUCUUUGACAAGGCCUUCUGUUGUGUAAGCAAAAUCACCACCACUUUCAUAUGCGCAUGCACAAGGUGUGGACAGUGACAAACAAUCAUCACUUAUAUAUAGACAGUAUAGAAUAGACAGAUAUCUUUCAGAAGCACAAAAAAUCAAGAGCACCAGAACACAAUGAGCAUGUGUGAACCAGCUCAAGCCAACUCACCCAAGUGAGCUCUUCCAAUGCUUUAACCUUUCUUGUAGUGAAAAAGGCAAGCUGCAUCAAACACAUGAGAUAUCCAGAAAAACCGUUAGUUUGAAGAGCUAGAGUGAAUGUUGAGGACUAAGUGAAAGAUCCAGAAGCACAAAGUUCCUUACAUGAUAGUAGUGGUGAUCUGGAGUCUCUAUUUCAACUGGUAUUUCAACCAUAUUUGAAUCAAAACAUCUGGACCGAAACAACAAUAAAACCAAAUCACAUGCACUGACACGGGUUAGUGACAGGUUUAUGGGUGAUGGAUAUAUCUAAUAUGCAAAAAAUGCAUAGCUUUCUUUUGGCUAUUGUUUCUGAUCACUUUCAUUUGUCCCUCAAUGUCUGCUUUUACUUUCAAAAAGGGAAUGAGAAACAAUAAUGGAUUCCGAAAUGGUAACUUUAUGCAAAUUUCAAGGCACAAAAAUAUGUGUGCAUGCUUUUAGAGACAGAUCCUAUGAGCCGGGGGUCGAUUGGAAACAGCCUCUCUGCCCUUUCGGGUAGGGGUAAGGCUNNNNNNNNNNNNNNNNNNNNNNNNNNNNNNNNNNNNNNNNNNNNNNNNNNNNNNNNNNNNNNNNNNNNCUCUCUGCCCUUUCGGGUAGGGGUAAGGCUUGUCUACAUAUUACCCUCCCCAGACCCCACCUGGUGGGAGUAUACUGGGUAGUUGUUGUUGUUGCUUUUAGAGACAGAGUAGUCAGAGGUGGAUAGAUGCAGGAAUUUGAAAAAGAAAACAUGAGCAGAAUUUACUACAAAGGAUGUGAAUGUUUUAUGCCAACUGAACACGAGUGAAUCAUCAAAUAUACCAAGAAAAGGAAAAAGGUUUCAUCAGCAUUUGAGAAGUUAAAAUGCAGAAAAGAUCCAGAACUAAUGCAAGUACGUACCACCUGAUAUCUGAACAAAUAGUCAACUUAUAACACUUAUAACUCCUAGACUACGAGUAAAUUAAAAAAACAAAAAACAAAUUGACACAAAACUGAUACCCCAAAAGAAAGUUGAAGCUGGGGGAGAAAAUCAGCAAAAGACAGUUAAACAUAAGAUCCUACUAUGUACUUACCUGUGAUUGAUAAAUCUGGCUACAUUCCCGAAAAAUGUCGCGUCCAAACAAAGGGCUUCUUCAUCCUUUAAGACACCCUCUGAACCCCAGUCAGCAUCAAGCAGCACGGGAUAAGAAUGUUCCUCACUAUUGGGGCUUUGUGAAACGCGAGAAAAUAGUUCUGCAUUCGUAAGCACUUCUCCCACAUACUCACAAAUAAAAGCACCUCUUGGAAGGUCCUCAAGGGUACGUAAGCCCCACCCUUUCCCUUCAGGAGUCAUAAACACCUGAAAUAAGUAAAACCAGCAAAAACCUAAAUGAAGUUAAUACAGAAGAUCAAAAAUAUUUAUAAAGUAAUCACUAAGAAACAAAAAUGAUUUCUAAGUAGCUCAAAAGAGUAUAGCAGAUUACAGUAAAAGUGUGCAUCAAAAACAUAAUGCAUGAGUUUUUACUGCAUCAGGCACAUUACCAAAGACCAUUCCAACAUCAACCACAAAUUCUAACCUGUAACUUGCGGCUAAUACCUCGCUGUACCACACGAUUCCCACACUGUUUAUUACAGCCACAUUUCCACCAACACUCUUUGAUGAAGUUCCUCACUAGAUGACCUUUACAAGGUUCUAUAAUAUCCUCGUUUUUCGAUCUUUCCAAUGGGCAUUCUUUGCAAAAGAAUUGGCAGUGUUUCUUGGGGUCACGAUUCAUAGAAAUACUCUCUUUAAGAAGUUCCUCUUUGACAAGGCCUUCUGUUGUGUAAGCAAAAUCACCACCACUUUCAUAUGCGCAUGCACAAGGUGUGGACAGUGACAAACAAUCAUCACAGCAAGUUGAACAACUGUUGUUAUCACCAAUACGAGCCAGAGAGAAAUUCAGAUAUGCAUUCUGGA
rnacentral:lncRNA from 1 species